rnacentral:rRNA from 1 species
GUGGGGAAUAUUGGGCAAUGGGGGCAACCCUGACCCAGCGACGCCGCGUGAGGGAAGAAGGCCUUAGGGUCGUAAACCUCUGUUGUGUGGGAAGAAGGAAGUGACGGUACCACACGAGGAAGUCCCGGCUAACUACGUGCCAGCAGCCGCGGUAAUACGUAGGGGACGAGCGUUGUCCGGAAUUACUGGGCGUAAAGGGCGCGUAGGCGGUCAUUUAAGUCAGCUGUGAAAUGGUCCGGCUCAACCGGAUCAUGCGGUUGAAACUGGAUGACUGGAGUGCUGGAGAGGCAAGUGGAAUUCCCAGUGUAGCGGUGAAAUGCGUAGAUAUUGGGAAGAACACCGGUGGCGAAGGCGACUUGCUGGCCAGCAACUGACGCUGAGGCGCGAAAGCCAGGGGAGCAAACAGGAUUAGAAACCCGAGUAGUCC